GCGCGCCAGGGGCGCGGACGGCACGCUGCUGGGCGCUAACGGCGCCUACCUGGAGCCGUUCAUCAACGGCGGCGCGCA
rnacentral:tRNA from 1 species